rnacentral:rRNA from 1 species
GACGAACGCUGGCGGCGUGCUUAACACAUGCAAGUCGAACGAAGAGCGACGGAAGCUUGCUUCUAUCAAUCUUAGUGGCGAACGGGUGAGUAACGCGUAAUCAACCUGCCCUUCAGAGGGGGACAACAGUUGGAAACGACUGCUAAUACCGCAUACGAUCUAACCUCGGCAUCGAGGAUAGAUGAAAGGUGGCCUCUACAUGUAAGCUAUCACUGAAGGAGGGGAUUGCGUCUGAUUAGCUAGUUGGAGGGGUAACGGCCCACCAAGGGGAUGAUCAGUAGCCGGUCGGAGAGGAUGAACGGCCACAUUGGGACUGAGACACGGCCCAGACUCCUACGGGAGGCAGCAGUGGGGAAUCUUCCGCAAUGGACGAAAGUCUGACGGAGCAACGCCGCGUGAGUGAUGACGGCCUUCGGGUUGUAAAGCUCUGUUAAUCGGGACGAAAGGCCUUCUUGCGAAUAGGGAGAAGGAUUGACGGUACCGGAAUAGAAAGCCACGGCUAACUACGUG